GACGAACGCUGGCGGCGUGCCUAAUACAUGCAAGUAGAACGCAGUUGCGAACGGGUGAGUAACGCGUAGGUAACUGCCUCAUUGCGGGGGACAACUAUCGGAAACGAUAGCUAAAAACGCAUACAGUGAGAUGGAUCUGCGUUGUAUUAGCUAGUUGGUGGGGCAAAGGGCCACCAAGGCGACGGUACAUUGCCGACCUGAGAGGGUGAUCGGCCACACUGGGACUGGGACACGGCACAGACUCCUACGGGAGGCAGCAGGAGGGAAACUUCGGCAAUGGACGGAAGUCUGACCGAGCAGCGCCGCGUGAGUGAAGAAAGUUUUCGGAUCGUAAAGCUCUGUUGUUAGAGGAGCGGUAGCUAACCAGAAAGGACCGGCUAACUACGUGCCAGCCGCCGCGGUAAUAC
rnacentral:rRNA from 1 species